UACGUAGGGCGCAAGCGUUGUCCGGAAUUAUUGGGCGUAAAGAGCUCGUAGGCGGCUUGUCACGUCGGAUGUGAAAGCCCGGGGCUUAACUCCGGGUCUGCAUUCGAUACGGGCUAGCUAGAGUGUGGUAGGGGAGAUCGGAAUUCCUGGUGUAGCGGUGAAAUGCGCAGAUAUCAGGAGGAACACCGGUGGCGAAGGCGGAUCUCUGGGCCAUUACUGACGCUGAGAAGCGAAAGCAUGGGGAGCGAACAGG
rnacentral:rRNA from 1 species